UGUGGGUAGGGGUGAAAGGCCAAUCAAACUCCGUGAUAGCUGGUUCUCCCCGAAAUGCAUUUAGGUGCAGCGUCGUGUGUUUCCUCCUGGAGGUAGAGCUACUGGUUGGUUUAGCGGGACUAUCAUCUUAGCGACAUCAGCCAAACUCCGAAUGCCGGUGAGGUCAGAGCACGGCAGUGAGACUGCGGGGGAUAAGCUUCGUAGUCGAGAGGGAAACAGCCCAGAUCGCCGGCUAAGGCCCCUAAGGGUGUGCUAAGUGGAAAAGGAUGUGGGAUCGCGAAGACAACCAGGAGGUUGGCUUAGAAGCAGCCAUCCUUGAAAGAGUGCGUAAUAGCUCACUGGUCGAGUGGUUCUGCGCCGACAAUGUAGUGGGGCUCAAGUACACCGCCGAAGCCGCGGCAAUCA
rnacentral:rRNA from 1 species